rnacentral:rRNA from 1 species
GUCUCAGUACUAGCCGAUUUUAAUUUUAUAUUAAAAAAAAUGGUGAAACCGCGAAAAGCUCAUUAAAUCGGCUUUGGUUCCUUAGAUAGUUCGCAGAUUGAAAUUUUUUUCCAAUGCAAAUUGGAAAAAAAUUUAAAUGUCUGAUAUGGAUAACUGUGGUAAUUCUAGAGCUAAUACAUGAAAAUACUUUUGUUAAGUGUGAAAAUCCGCAAAAUUCUAAUGUAUUUUUAUUAAUUUAAAAAUAAAUUGAAUUUGUGGAACAAUUUUUGCACGCUUUUAUUAGAGGAAAAAGCCAAUUUUAAAAAGAAUUUUUCGUAAAAAAAUAGUUGAGAUAUUUUUUGCAACUGCAAAAAUAUCAUAAAUUAUUUGAAAAAUUCGUGAAUUAUUAUAAUUAAUUUUUAAUCAAAAAAUUAAUUCUAUUAAUGUUGAAUCUGAAUAACUUGAAUGAAUCUUUUCCGAAAGUAUAUUAUUUGGAGAAUUUUUCUCUUUCGGGAUGAAAAAUUUUUUAAAAAAUUUUAUACGAUUAGGGAGAGAUUUAAAGCAGACCGCAAAUAUUAAGGUUAUUUUAUUUGUACGUGUGACGAAUAUGUAAAAGUAUCUCAGAACCGUUCGUAAAAUGACCGAUUGCGGCGUAUCUUUCAAUUGUCUGCCUUAUCAACUUUCGAUGGUAGAUUAUAUGUCUACCAUGGUUGUAACGGGUAACGGGGAAUCAGGGUUCGAUUCCGGAGNGGGAGCCUGAGAAACGGCUACCACAUCUAAGGAAGGCAGCAGGCACGCAAAUUACCCAAUCCCGGCACGGGGAGGUAGUGACGAUAAAUAACGAUCCGGAACUCUAAUGAGUUUCCGUAAUCGGAAUGAGUACAAUUUAAAUACUUUAACGAGGAGCCAAUGGAGGGCAAGUCUGGUGCCAGCAGCCGCGGUAAUUCCAGCUCCAUUAGCAUAUAUUAAAUUUGUUGCGNUUAAANNNNNNNNNNUUGAAUCUGUAUCUCAUACUGUCAAUCGCUCAUAAUUUCUAUUUAUGCAGUUUGACUUGACAAAAUUUAUUUUUAUUGUAUGAGAUAUGACUACUGGCGGAUUUUUAUGAAAUUAUAUACUAGAUAAUUUGUGAUUAAAUUGUUAUUAAUUUAAUCGUUAAGCAAAUUUAUCGAAUAUAUAAUUUUAAAAUUCGAUAUUGUGGCAAACGUUUAAAAGUGCGAAUUUUAUAUAAUUACAUAGUUAUUUCCUUAUGUUACAUCUGUGUGAUAAAUGUUGAUUGAGUUUUUUUUUCAUUAGAAAAAUUUCGAUUAACGUUCAAAUUUAUCGCAUUAGAUUUAAGUGAAAUAAUAUGCAUUUAUCGGUUCGCACAUUUAUUUAGUCGUUUUGUCGACGAUAUUCUGACUGUUUGACGAUUUAACGAAGAAAUUUGUAAAAGAAAUUUUUUCCAGUCAACAUGGUAAGGCCAGUAAUAUUACUUUGAACAAAUUAGAGUGCUCAAUGCAGGCUCAAUUAUAUGCCUUGAAUAUAAACAGCAUGGAAUAAUAGAAUAUGAUCUCGAUACUGUUUUUUUAUUGUUUAGUUUAGAAAUUGAUUAAGAUAAGAAUUUUUUCAAAAUUUUUUGACUAAUUGAUUUUAUUAAAUUAAACGAAAAAUUGGCUUAAAGAUUCAGUUAUUCAAAAGAAUUUAAUACUAUUAAAUCUUUGAAAUUUAUAAAUUUUAAAUCUGGUUCAUGUUCCGUUAAAAUUUUUCGUAAAAAAUUUUUUUCUCGAAAAAUGGAACUUUUUUUCUAUUACUUUAGAAAAAAAACCGAUUUAAUUAUUAAUUUUAUAAAUUUCUUUACAAUAACUGUGUCGACAGU